AUCGUACAAAGCUUCAUUUUAGAUUGAAAAUAUGAUCCAAAAUUGUUCUAAAAAUUGAUCUAAAAUUCUUUCGGAAUCAAGCAUUUCAGCAGUUUUUGUUAAAAAUUAGAUAUUAUCCCAAAAUCGAGGCGCGAAUCGAGUUGAAAUCCAUUGGAGGGAGGGGGGGUGAUACAAAGAAUUUUCAUUCCCGGCUUUAGAUUUCCACCAAAGCGAAUUUAAUUUUGUUAGAAAUUGUCCAUUUUUUUUUGCCUAAAAUUGAGUCGAGAAUUUUUUUUUCAAAAAGUGUUUUUUAUGAAGUUUUCUGGGCCAAUUUAGAAUUGCUGAGCACGAAGGUCGAAAUUCUGGGUGGAUUCGUAGUUCUCAAGAAAGUUGGAAUUUUUCUGGAAGAAUCAACUUGUUUUGAAGGGUAAUCUAAUAUUUUUGUGAAGAAAUCGUGUUUUUUCGGAACAAAAUGAAAAUUUUUAAUGACUUAGUGACCCUUAGGAAAAACUGACGCCGGAUCUUGACUUGGCGACCUCGAAUCAGUCGGAAAUCACCUAAAGUGAAAAAAAUUAGCUACUUCUGACCGGAUCAGCAAGUUACAAACGUUCAUUGGAUGAGUAACAGAGCUGUUAAUAAAAUUGCAUAACCAGUUUGCCGUAAAUACGAUGUGCAUAUUUUGGCACGGUGAAUUUAAUUCCGACGUCUGAUUUGAAAUUGCCUCUUUUUAGGCCCAAAAUUGGGCUAAAAAAAUGUUGAAGUGCGGAAAUGUGCAUUUUUAUGACGAAUUCUGACUAAUUCGAGGUUGCUGGGAACGAAAAUGGCGUCCAAAUUACGUCUCGCUGGAUAGUUUCGGCGACCUCAUUUUACUCAAUUCUUUACAAACAAAAAUUAAAUUUUUUAAAAUUUUACCUCCACUUUUUAAAGAAAAAGAAAUGAAUUAAUUUUUUUCCUACUGAUGACGUUUCCUGCUAAUUAUUAUGGUUACAAACCCCUGCUUUUGGCUGAAACUGUCAAAGUCUCGUUUUUUGUCAAAAAUAGCAAAAAGUCUCUGCUAUUACCAGAAUUGCCAAAAAGUGUUGUUUCUUGUCAAAAAUUCCCAAAAAUUGUUGCUAGUUUGCAAAAAAUUUCAAAUAUGUCUCACUUUUUUUCAGGAAUUGUCCUGAAAGUCUCACUUUAUUGCCAAACACUGCCAAAAGUUUUGUGUGUGUGUUUUUUUUUUUUAAAACUAAAUACGUCAAAGUCUCGCUUUUUGGCAAAUCUUUCAGAAAAAGUCACUCCAAAAGUUGCUUUUCAAAGUCUUGAUUUUUUUCAAAAUUCUUUUUAAAAAAAAAAGCUUUAAUUUUCACUUUUACCCAUGUCCAAAAUUUCCAAAAAAAGACCAAAAAGUCUUGUUAGUCUCGCUUUUCUGCCAACAUUUUCCAAAAAAGUCGCAAGAAAGUCUCACUUUUUCAACAAUAAUAGCAAAAAAAAAGGACUUGCUAAAAAAUUCUUGCUAAAUUCCUAAUCAUUGCCAAAAAUUUCCAAAACGUCUCAACUUUUUGCCAAAAAUGACUAAAAAAAUGUGUUCUUUGAAAACAUUCCAAGAAUGUCAAUUUUUUCCCAAAAAAAGUUCUGCUUUUUGCUAAAACUGUCAAAAUCUCUCUUUUUUUGCCGAAAAUUGCGUAGGUAGCCAAAAAUUGCCUAAGCGUCUUUUUUUUACCCUUUUCCAAAUAAAAUAUUCCGGCUUUUUUUGUGAUUUUUUUUCAGCAUUAAAAUGUUUUGCUCAAGUCUUGUAACUUUCUUGGUUACGUUCUUGAACUUUUUUCGUUACAAAAUUUACUUUUAUUUUUAGAAAAAAUUGAGUACCUAGCUACCUACUAGCCCUGAAAGUGGCCAAUUUGAAAAUUCAACUUUCACAGGUUGAAAUUCUUAUUCUAAAAAAAAAUCCAAAACCAUCCAACUUUUGUCCUCGUAAUCAACUCUUUGAAUUUUGAAGGUUAUCUGGAGCCUCCAGCAAAGGUUCAUUUUUUUCCAGCAUACCUACCUAACUAUUAAAAUCGCCCCAGAAGACAUUGAAAUUUGAUAAAAUAAUAUAAUUACACGUAUGAAAGGUAUGACGAAUAAAGCAAGUUGGCAUAAAAUAAGUACUUACCCCAGCUCACCUACACAGUACCGAAAAGUACCUUACACACGACGAAUAUAAUAAAUUAACAAAGAGUACACGAAUACGUGACGAAAUUCGUUAUAUUUGAGUUUAAUCACACAGAAAUACACGUCAAUAAUCGAUAAUUAUUCAUAAAAUGCACCACGAACUCGUGCGAAAUAGGGAAAAUAUUGUACAAAUUUGGAGGGAUCACUUAAAUACACUAAUUAAUUCUACGAAAUAACUUUUAACUUGGACCCGGAGGACACAAAGACUAAAAGGCACAUUAACUUGGCGAUUCGCGGACAACCGUUGAUGAACUGCGAAUUGGUCCAGUCGCAAAAGAUGCUGCUAAACCUCUUUCGCGACUGUACCAAUCAGUGUUACCCGAAAUAGAAGGGUUAAAUACUCUAAUAUUACGAGUUUCCGGACAUAGGCAUAAGUCUCAGUCUAACAUAUGCCCCAGCGUGAGUUUACUUAGCGGUCGGUGAACCAGCUGAGCAAAUCACGGUAGAACAAAGGCUCGACUAUGCCUUACCGGUAACUCGUCCAUAGUGGACAGCCAAUUGUCCGCUACGGACCUAUCAGCUGCCCCCCAUGGUUUCUCGGGUGAGAACAAAAGGAGCAGAGUAAACUCAAUAAAAUUUCAAUCCCACGAGCGUGGUAGGUAUCCAGGUAGUCGAAACUGCGAACCACUGGAUCACCAAACGACGGACGAGGUUCAAUGAACCCAGUAUGAAUGUAGUUCAAAAACCUUUCUAUCUACCAGCUAAAACAAAUCCAAACAUACGACGAAUACUGAACUGGUACCUUUUUUGAUUUCAGCAAAUACCUCCCAACGGAUCGAAACAUGACCAAAACGCAAGUUCUUAAAGAUAUCUACGAUACGUAGUCAAGACGAAGAAUUGCCAAGCUAAAUCGUGUACGAAAGAUACGUAUACAGCUGAUAACUUGAGAAGAAUAUUUGCAUCGAGUUCGUGGUUAUAUAUAAAUAUUGUUAAGUAAUAUCACUUAAAGCUGGAUUGUGAACUGUUUAAAAUUCAAUAAAAAUUAGUCUAUCUUGAA